UUAUCAAAGAUUUAUUGCUUUGAGAUGGACCCGCGGCGCAUUAGCUAGUUGGUAAGGUAACGGCUUACCAAGGCAACGAUGCGUAGCCGACCUGAGAGGGUGAUCGGCCACAUUGGAACUGAGACACGGUCCAGACUCCUACGGGAGGCAGCAGUGGGGAAUAUUGCGCAAUGGGGGAAACCCUGACGCAGCAACGCCGCGUGGGUGAUGAAGGUCUUCGGAUUGUAAAGCCCUGUUUUCUAGGACGAUAAUGACGGUACUAGAGGAGGAAGCCACGGCUAACUACGUGCCAGCAGCCGCGGUAAUACGUAGGUGGCGAGCGUUGUCCGGAUUUACUGGGCGUAAAGGGUGCGUAGGCGGAUGUUUAAGUGGGAUGUGAAAUCCCCGGGCUUAACCUGGGGGCUGCAUUCCAAACUGGAUAUCUAGAGUGCAGGAGAGGAAAGCGGAAUUCCUAGUGUAGCGGUGAAAUGCGUAGAGAUUAGGAAGAACACCAGUGGCGAAGGCGGCUUUCUGGACUGUAACUGACGCUGAGGCACGAAAGCGUGGGUAGCAAACAGGAUUAGAUACCCUGGUAGUCCACGCCGUAAACGAUGGAUACUAGGUGUAGGGGGUAUCAACUCCCCCUGUGCCGCAGUUAACACAAUAAGUAUCCCGCCUGGGGAGUACGGUCGCAAGAUUAAAACUCAAAGGAAUUGACGGGGGCCCGCACAAGCAGCGGAGCAUGUGGUUUAAUUCGAAGCAACGCGAAGAACCUUACCUGGACUUGACAUCCCUUGCAUAGCCUAGAGAUAGGUGAAGCCCUUCGGGGCAAGGAGACAGGUGGUGCAUGGUUGUCGUCAGCUCGUGUCGUGAGAUGUUAGGUUAAGUCCUGCAACGAGCGCAACCCUUGUUAUUAGUUGCUACCAUUAAGUUGAGCACUCUAAUGAGACUGCCUGGGUAACCAGGAGGAAGGUGGGGAUGACGUCAAAUCAUCAUGCCCCUUAUGUCCAGGGCUACACACGUGCUACAAUGGUAGGUACAAUAAGACGCAAGACCGUGAGGUGGAGCAAAACUUAUAAAACCUAUCUCAGUUCGGAUUGUAGGCUGCAACUCGCCUACAUGAAGCUGGAGUUGCUAGUAAUCGCGAAUCAGAAUGUCGCGGUGAAUACGUUCCCGGGCCUUGUACACACCGCCCGUCACACCAUGAGAGCUGGUAACACCCGAAGUCCGUGAGGUAACCGUAAGGAACCAGCGGCCGAAGGUGGGAUUAGUGAUUGGGGUGAAGUCGUAACAAGGUAGCCGUAGGAGAACCUGCGGCUGGAUCACCUCCUUUCUA
rnacentral:rRNA from 1 species